GACGAACGCUGGCGGCGUGCUUAACACAUGCAAGUCGAACGGUAAGGCCCCAGCUUGCUGGGGUACACGAUUGGCGAACGGGUGAGUAACACGUGGGUGACCUGCCCCGCACUUCGGGAUAAGCCUGGGAAACUGGGUCUAAUACCGGAUAGGACCGCACCGUGAGGGUGUGGUGGAAAGUUUUUCGGUGUGGGAUGGGCCCGCGGCCUAUCAGCUUGUUGGUGGGGUAAUGGCCUACCAAGGCGGCGACGGGUAGCCGGCCUGAGAGGGUGGACGGCCACAUUGGGACUGAGACACGGCCCAGACUCCUACGGGAGGCAGCAGUGGGGAAUAUUGCACAAUGGGCGGAAGCCUGAUGCAGCGACGCCGCGUGGGGGAUGACGGCCUUCGGGUUGUAAACUCCUUUCACCAUCGACGAAGGUUUUCUGACGGUAGAUGGAGAAGAAGCACCGGCUAACUACGUG
rnacentral:rRNA from 1 species